GCACCUGUGGCUCAAUGGUAGAGGGUCAGACUUCUGCAAUUUAAUUGUGAUCUGAAUGUUGUGAGUUCGAUCCUCACCAAGUGUA
rfam:Sphaerobolus stellatus SS14 unplaced genomic scaffold SPHSTscaffold_94, whole genome shotgun sequence.